GGGAAGCAACGGGACAUGAACACAUAUAUUAGUAUCAUACAAGUAACAAAGGGGGAGAAAGAAUGCUAUGACAGAGACAGAAAUAUAUCACAACACAAACAUAUAUAUUUUCACAUGAACGUAAUUAACACAGGGACUACAGAACACACAUAAGCACACCAUGAUCCAGGUUACAUAAGUAAACAAAUUAUACAAGCCACUUACUAGUAUCACAGAUCAACAGAGUAGUAUUGAACAACUAAAAAUAGAUAGUAGAAGUAACUAGUACAGGAAACAAGUACUCUUAGAAUCUGAAUGUUACAGACUACACGUCACAAACUACAGAAAAUUCAGAGAAGAGAAGGAGAAAGAGAGAUGGCAGCAGGAGAUUAGAGAAAGAAGAAGCAGCAACUGGGGCAUGGAGAGAGGAGCAGCAGCAGUACGGGAUUCAGAGAAGAGCAACAGAGAGGGAGAGAGCAGCAGCGUGGUGAGGAUUCAGAGGUGAACAGCAGCAAGGUUAGGAGAAGGAGAAGGGCAGCAGCGAGGUAAGGAGAAGAGUAGCAGCAGCAGAUUGAGAAGGGAGGAAAAAGAAGCAGCAAGCAGCGGAAGGAGGAGGAGGAGGAGGAAGAGCAGCAGGGCAAGAGAAGAAGGAGGCAGCAGCAGGAGGUUGGAGAAGGGAGAAGCAGCAGUAGGAAGAGAAGAAGGACCAGGGACGUGGCAAGGGAGAUGCAGCAGUAGAGGCGUGGGGAAGAAGAGAAGCAGCAGGGGCGAAGCAAGAGGGAAGAGUGGAAGUGGUGGAUGGCGCCGGCGUGGGUUGCUGGUGGUUCGGGGUUCAGGUGGCGGCGCUGAUGGUGGAUGGUGCAGCGGUGGCGCUGGGUGAUGGACGGAUGGAUGGCGAUGGUGAAGUGGUGGAGUAGCAGCUAGUGGUGGGGGGUGCUGUUGGCGCGGUGGCGCGCCGCCACGCCGGCCUGGCCGCGGCGGUGGCCGGUGGUGGAGAAGGUGGGAUGAGGGAGAGAGAGAGAUAUGCCAGGCCCAAAAGGGGAUCGGGGCUGCUGCUAGGGAUUUUGACCCCUC
rnacentral:rRNA from 1 species